rnacentral:rRNA from 1 species
AACGAACGCUGGCGGUGCGCCUAACACAUGCAAGUCGAGCGCGAAAGUCCCUUCGGGGGCGAGUAGAGCGGCGGACGGGUGAGUAAUACAUGGGUAAUCUACCCCCGAGCUUGGGAUAACCCCGCGAAAGCGGGGCUAAUAUCUGAUAAGACCACAUAACACAAGUUGUGCGGUAAAAGGUGGCUUGAAUUUAUUCUAGCUAUCACUUGAGGAUGAGUCCAUGGCCUAUCAGCUUGUUGGUGAGGUAAGAGCUUACCAAGGCUAUGACGGGUAGCUGGUCUGAGAGGACGACCAGCCACACUGGGACUGAGACACGGCCCAGACUCCUACGGGAGGCAGCAGUGGGGAAUAUUGGGCAAUGGGCGAAAGCCUGACCCAGCGACACCGCGUGGGUGAUGAAAGCCUUCGGGUUGUAAAGCCCUUUCGUGCGGAAAGAACUGUUCCGCGGUUAAUACCCGCCGGAAUUUGACGGUACCGCAGGAAGAAGCACCGGCUAACUCCGUGCCAGCAGCCCG